AGUCGAACGGCAGCGCGGGGCAACCUGGCGGCGAGUGGCGAACGGGUGAGUAAUACAUCGGAACGUGCCCUGUGAUGGGGGAUAACUACGCGAAAGCGUAGCUAAUACCGCAUACGACCUACGGGUGAAAGUGGGGGAUCGCAAGACCUCACGUCAUAGGAGCGGCCGAUGGCGGAUUAGCUAGUUGGUGAGGUAAAGGCUUACCAAGGCGACGAUCCGUAGCUGGUCUGAGAGGACGACCAGCCACACUGGGACUGAGACACGGCCCAGACUCCUACGGGAGGCAGCAGUGGGGAAUCUUGGACAAUGGGGGCAACCCUGAUCCAGCAAUGCCGCGUGUGGGAUGAAGGCCUUCGGGUUGUAAACCACUUUUGGCGGGGGCGAAAUAUCGAGUGCUAAUACCAUUCGGUGAUGACGGUACCCGCAGAAUAAGCACCGGCUAACUACGUGCCAGCAGCCGGGGGUAAUACA
rnacentral:rRNA from 1 species